GUUAGAAGUAAAUUAUAACAGGAUCCUUUGUGGGUUUUUUUGUCUAACUUCAGUGUUUCAGGGUGUGUGUGCACAGGCGAGCGGGUACAUCUUAGUGACUUUUAUAAAUUCAUGUCUGACUUUAAAAACAUCUAACGUGGUGACUCGCUUGCCCACAAAACAAACAUAACAUGUUUGGUUUAGAGUGUGUGAAUUUGUGGAUGUUUGAACGCUAUAAUUGCCUGUCAGUGAAUUCUGAAGCCGAGGAGUUAAUCACCUUUACUGUGUGUACAUUUAGUCCCUUUAUGUGUGCGAUGAUAUAGCUGACAGUAAAGUGACAGUUUGGGGUUUGCUACAGAGGUGUGAGGUGUUAUACAUUAUGAGUAGGAACAUUUAUUGGAUAUGAGAGGGAUUUAUGUUAUAUGUCGUAGCAUGUUUUCCAAGUGUUGGCUAUAGGGUCUCCAUGACAAAAUGUUACAGUCAAUACAAACACUUAAUCUGAUUAAAUUCAUGAAAUACUGAAAUACUGUGGAAAUAAAUAAAGUAUGUCACCCAUGUGUCUGAACUCUAGGUGCCUUUGAUGUACCUUUGAAACUAGCUUCAAAGCUCAGGGACCAGCUAGGGUUUGUACUGAUGUCUUUCAGAGGGUGCAAAGGGUGUGCUGGUGUAGGAGAAGAUAUGAAGUAUUUCAUUGUGAGGCUGAAGAAGCAACUGCAGGGCAACCUUGGUCACAGAGUUAAAUGGAGGGUCCACUUUUUAACAAAUGACCCAUGUGCUGCAAUAAGUGAGAAAUAACCCAGGCAGCAUUUGGCCUUAUUUGUGUUCAAGGUCACUGGAGGCUGUAGUCUAUCUCUCCCACCAAACACAGGAAGACACACACGCACACAUACGUGCAUCACACGCACAGACACACACUGUGAGUGAGUUUGUCUUUACCAUCCAAAAACACUGGACUUGAUUCAUGUGUUUUCCAUCCUGUGUAUGACAUUUCAUUUUGAGAUACAAACUAAAGGUUUUCAAAGUUGGCCUGUAUGGAAGGUUGUUUUUUUUAAAAAAAAAUCAGUAGUUCAGAGGUUUAGGUCUAGAAGACACUUUCUUUAGAAGCAGUAGUGAGGCAUUAUUAUCCCAACACUACUGUUUUUUAUUUUUAUUUUUAUCUGUUUUACAUGUUUGUGGAACCAGUAAGCUCUCUGAUAGAAUAGAAUAAUCAUUUAAUUGUCCCACAAGGGGAAAUUUGGUUGUAACAGCAACAAAAACAAAAACUGAUCAGGAAGGCUGGCUCUGUGGUCGGCAUGAAGCUGGACACUCUGGUGACAGUGGCAGAGAAAAGGACACUAAAAAAACUGCUGUCAUGGUCUCCGUGCCUGCCCGGUCGGCCCCACAAGGCUACAUUUGCUGUUUCAGUUCUCUCCCUCUCUGCCUGGGUGGAGCUCACUGUGGGCUCCCGCCCUUGGCCCACACACCUGACGACAAUCACCUGUCAUCACCGGGAGCACUAUUUGAGGCUGGAACACAGAUCCUCUCGUCGCUGGAUGAUUGUACUACUGACACCCCCCCCCCCCGACCUGCGACCUCCCUGCCGUGUGAGCAUGUGUGAGUGUGGGCAAGAAGACGUGAGCGAGUGUGAGAGAGCUACCCUGUGAUUCCCU
ensembl:lncRNA